UCCCUGGUGGCUCAGAUGGUAAAGCAUCAGCCUGCAAUGCGGGAGACCCAGGUUCGAUUCCUGGGUCGGGAA
rfam:Ovis aries breed Texel chromosome 3, whole genome shotgun sequence.